rnacentral:rRNA from 1 species
GACGAACGCUGGCGGCGUGCUUAACACAUGCAAGUCGAACGGAAAGGCCCUGCUUUUGUUGGGUGCUCGGGUGGCGAACGGGUGAGUAACACGUGAGUAACCUGCCCUUGACUUUGGUAUAACUUCAGGAAACGGGGGCUAAUACCGGAUAGGAGCUCCUGGUGCAUGGUGGUGGUUGGAAAGUUUCGGCGGUUGGUGAUGGACUCGCGGGUGAUCAGGUUGUUGGUGGGGUAGUGGCUUAACAAGGCUUUGACGGGUAGCCGGUCUGAGAGGGUGACCGGCAACAUUGGGACUGAGACACGGCCCAGACUCCUACGGGAGGGAGCAGUGGGGAAUAUUGCACAAUGGGCGGAAGCCUGAUGCAGCAACGCCGCGUGCGGGAUGACGGCCUUCGGGUUGUAAACCGCGUUCGCCUGUGACGAAGCGUGAGUGACGGUAAUGGGUAAAGAAGCACCGGCUAACUACGUG